rnacentral:rRNA from 1 species
AUUCCAGCUCCAAUAGCGUAUAUUUAAGUUGUUGCAGUUAAAAAGCUCGUAGUUGGAUUUCGGUUAAGAGCGACCGGUCCGCCGUUUGGUGUGCACUGGUUGGUUUUAACUUCCUGUAGAGGACGUGCUCUGGGCUUAACGGUCUGGACUCGGAGUCUACGUGGUUACUUUGAAAAAAUUAGAGUGUUUAAAGCAGGCAUUUUGCUGUGAAUACAUUAGCAUGGAAUAAUAACAUAGGACUUUGGUUCUAUUUUGUUGGUUGGAGGCCAAGGUAAUGAUUAAUAGGGAUAGUUGGGGGUAUUCAUAUUUAAUUGUCAGAGGUGAAAUUCUUGGAUUUAUGAAAGAUGAACUCAUGCGAAAGCAUUUACCAAGGAUGUUUUCAUUA